AUGGGGGGGAUGGGAUGUCAUGAGGUCCUAUGGGGUCCUAUAGAUUCCUCCUGGGGGCACGGGCAUGGGAUUUUAUUGUGUCUUAUGAGGUCCUGGUUUUGUAGGAAUGUGAUCCAGUGGGGUCCUUGAGAGUUCUAGGGGGCGGGGUUAAAAAUCAUCGCGUCCAAACAUGGCCUACCCAUAGCAGCCCAACUCUAACAGCCCUCCGCUCAAGCACGUCCCUGAGCAGCGCAUGCAGACGGUUUUGAAACACAUCUGAGGAAGUGUGACUCAACCACCUCCCUGGGGAGAAAUAUCCUUCAGGCCAUGUGGGGUUCUAUGGGGGAAUGGUACCUUCGUGGAGUCUGUGGGGUCCUUUGAGUAGUAUGGGGGAGGGAUGGGAACAUACGGAGUCCUCUAGGGGAAAGCAUGGGGAAGGUAUGUGUUCCUAUGGGGUCUUCUAGGGUUCUAUGGUGGCCUAUGGUGUGGUGGGAGGGGAGAAUGCGACUGUGUGCUGUGCUAUGUUGUCCUAUGAUGGGUAUGGGGUUCUGUGGGGUCCUAUGGUGUCGUAUGGGAGGGGAUGGGACUCUCUGGGGGUCCUAUAGGGUUCUAUGCAUGGGGGGAUGGGAACCUAUGGAGUCGUACAGGGCCCCAUGUGGAAGGUAUGGGUUCCCAAGAGAUCCUAUGGGGGCUGGGCUCUCGUGAAGUCUAUGGGGUCCUAUAGGCUCCUUUUUUGGGAGGGAGAUAGGGGAUUUGAUGGUGUCUUAUUGGGUCUGAUGGGGUGCAAGUGUUGGGAAGAUGGGAUCCUAUGGGGUCCUCUAGGGUUCCUGGGGGUGGGGUGAUAUGGGGUAGUCUGUGGUAGAAUGGGAUCUUAUAAGGGUCUUUGGGGUCCGGAAAAUAGCCCAUGUUCCUGUCCAAACCUGGAAAGCCCUAGACUCGGACCUCUUUGCCUGGCUCCCAGGUGGCCCAUGUGUCAAAGGUGUUGUAUGCUGCUUUAUUUUCUGGCUCAAAGCUUGCUUCCUGAGGUAUGUCUUGUGAGAAGACUCUAGGAGAUGAGAGGUGGGUGUUGCCGUGUGGCAAUCAGCGUCACUGUGCGGACACUUUUCCAUUGGAAAGCAUUUCUUUGGAGCUGUUUGCCUUGGGCCCAAGAGUGAAGGGAGUGCUCAGGUCCGCUUUGUGGACUGUUUGCUGGCGCAAGACCUGUCCUGUGACCAAAGAAGUCCUGUUUGCUCUGGGAAAUUGCAGGAUGAUACCAUUGUAUCCUGUGAAGACGAGCUACAAGUUGGUGUCUCCAUACUGCCUCUUAUCUGCUGGCAAGGCCGGGGAGAUGGGCACCAAAGGCGUUCCUGCUGGGACCCAAAAGCCACAAGCUGUCACUCCAGACAGAGCUGACUCAACCACUUGGGACUUAGAAAUAAGUCUGUCCCGUCGUCGUCGUCAUCGCUGCGGUCACCGUCCUCAUCUACGGAACAACGCCCAAUGGCCCACCUCUCCUGAGGAUCAACAACUGAAUCAGGAACCACGCCGGACCCAUGGUGGUGUCCAUCUCCGUCUUGCUUCCUAGAGAGACUCCUUGCUCCCAUUUCCUAUCUUUUCUGCUGCCCUUCUUCCCUUCCCCAUCACCCUAGUUUGUACCUAUCAAGACUCCUUGCUUCUAUUUCCUAUCUUUUCCAUCGCUUUCCUUCCCUUGCCCAUUACCCCGAUCCGUACUAGUGUCCGUCCUCCCCUUCCCCAUCUCCCUUCUUGAGAUUUGUAAUAAACUGGUCGGACCACCA